rnacentral:tRNA from 1 species
UCCUUAGUGGCUCAGACAGUAAAGAAUCUGCCUGCAAUGCAGGAGACCUAGGUUUGAUCCCUGGGUCAGGAA